rnacentral:lncRNA from 1 species
GUAACCUGACAUUUAACUUAAUUACAAUAUUUUUAUCUGAAGAAACAACAUGGAAUGGUUUUAAUGUUUACCUGUAAAAAUGGCUCUAAUAUUUUUAGACAGGCUUUUAUAAUGCAUCUGCAUGAGUCUUUUCAUUUUUUUUAUUCUCUCCUCCCCAGGUUAAACUUGAACUCCAUAGUCAUUGAUGAUGUGAAAAGAUAUAAAGACAUCCAGCAACUUUGCAAGAUGACACUCCAUGGAGCAUGUUAAGGAGCUCUAGAGAACGUAAGGGUGGCACACAGAGAACGAGGCGCGCUUCUGAACUGCUCUUGACUGCCGUGAGAUGUCCCACUGAAGCUGAUGUUCCUUUAAGGAAGAGAGGGCAACAAGAACUGAAGCAACUCUUAACACCUAGGACUAGUUUAAGUGGAAGGAAGACUGUGACCCAAGCAUUCGAAAUCCAUGGAACACAUCCUCAGAAACGAGUGUGGUGCUUCUCCAGCCUGUUCCAGAAAGAAUCAAGAAGAUGGUCUGGCUUGCAGGAUUAUUUGAAAGCUGCGCAGACCUGUAAGUCACUGGAUUAUUUAUAUAAUCUUGUCUGUUUCUUUUACUUCUGUAUUUUAAACAUCCGUUAUAAGGCAAUACUGCUUUUAGUGGUGAGCCAAGUUUUUCUUCUAAAACACAUGUUCCCUAAAGCCUUAGCACUUUAUUUCCUUUGUUCUGAUUUAUUGCUGUUGCCUUACCACAUAUGCUAGGCACUGAGGGGAAAAAAAGGCAAAAACCAACAAAGCAACCCUCUCUAUUCCCCUCCCCACGCUGCAUACAUCACGAUUAACACACUGGAUAUAUUACCUUAAGCAAUUCAACAAGGAACUAAUUUACCUUUAAUUUCUUAGUUACUUCCAAAUAGAAACGUUGAUGAAAAGUGAGUGUUUGUAGGUUAAUAGUGUUAAGAAUAUUAUUAAAAAAAUGAAAGCUACGGUAGGGUACAGUAAGGUAGAAUAGAUUCUAAAUCUGGAGAAUGAUACAGUGAGAUUAAAAAAUAAAAGCUAUAUUUAAGAAAGCA